rnacentral:tmRNA from 1 species
GGGGGUGAUGGGUUUCGACAGAAAUGGUUUAUCAAAGCCGGCAAGCAAAAACUCUUCGAAUAAACGCCAAUUUAUUCAAACAACCUGCUUACGCCUACGCGUAACGCCAUCUUCUGGGUUGAUUCUCGAUAAACCCGGAAGGUGUCAUAUCAUCGAGAUGUCCAGUUUCUUUGCCUCAAAGAUUCUGGGAAAUUAAAAGAGGAUUAGGAACGCUUGAAUUUUGUCUGUUUUAAAUCAAGGGUUCCGAACGGCUCAAACAGACUAAGCUUGUAGAGGGCUUUGGUAAAAAUUUCUGGAUUAGGGUUCAACACCCUACACCUCCACAU